UACAGAGGGUGCGAGCGUUAAUCAGAAUUACUGGGCGUAAAGCGUGCGUAGACGGUUAUUUAAGUCGGGUGUGAAAGCCCCGGGCUCAACCUGGGAAUUGCAUUCGAGACUGAAUAGCUAGGGUACGGUAGAGGGAAGCGGAAUUUCCGGUGUAGCGGUGAAAUGCGUAGAUAUCGGAAGGAACAUCAGUGGCGAAAGCGGCUUCCUGGACCAGUACCGACGUUCAGGCACGAAAGCGUGGGGAGCAAACAGG
rnacentral:rRNA from 1 species